UGUAAUCACACACACACAAACUCGUUUUCUUUCUUGCCGACUUGUAACCCGUUGCACAUAUAUAUAUAUAUAUAUAUCUGUGUGUGUGUGUGUGCCAUCGAUUCUGACGUAAAACCUCAAUCGAAAGCUCCGUGCAGUCACGUUAAGCACGCAUAGACUUCAUUUCUCUCCCCCCUCCCACUACCACCUCUUCUACUGCGGCGUGCUGCAUCUCUUUCGCCCUUGCGCCCCUCCAGCACACCUCUGCCUCCCUUGCAUCGCCCACUAGUUCGAUCUCUGUGUUUUCGUUUGGGUUCUGUGGAGGGGAGGGAGCACACAACCACACGCGCGCCCACACUCCUCCUCCCGUCUUCCGUCCGCUGUGUCAGCGACUUCUUUUUUCGUUUCUUUACCCCUCUCCGGCCUUUUUCUUUGUCUUGCAGGCUUUUUUGCCCUCCCCUUCCUCCCCCGCGUGCACACCCGUCUGUCCGCCCGUCUGUCUCCCUGCUUGGGUGUGUGGUUGCACGGCCUGAUCCUGCCGCACAGCCGGCGGGCACGAUCGACUCUGUCCCACCCAAUCUCCCUCUUUCUUCCUCGCUGUCGCACGCCGAGGGAACGCCAACGAGAGGCGUAACGCCCAAUCCCACCGGGGCUGGCAAAGACACAGACGCACACGCACACACACACAGUCACGGAGACGGCUCCACCUGUGUAUGCGACUGUGUGUGUGUGCGCGCCUCCAGUGCUCCCGUUUUCUCCAGCCCGUACGCUUACAUUUUCUUGACAUCUAUAUCUAUAUAUGUGGUUCUCCCGAGCUGAGACUUUGUCCGUCUCUCUGUCUGUGCCUGGGCAUCUGUGUGAUCUGGUGGGUGGCACUGUCUUGGUACGCUCUCUAUCACGCCCUCCCCCCUUCCGUCCCUCUCUCCUCCCAUCCCGAGGCACACGCUCAGCCAAGCGGAGGCGACGACGAAGUUCAAAGAGGGGUUGCCACCACGCGUGUGUGCCUCCUCUUCUUCCGAGUUGCUUCGCCCUCUCACUUCUUUUUGUGUGACCACAACGACACCGAAGCAUAGUCGGAGGCGCAAUGCCCAGCUGUGAGAGUCCGCUCUCCACGACCACCCCAUCCUCUCUGGUGCACCCGCCCGCCCACCUGUGCGACGUCACCGGCGGCACCGCUGCAGCUGCCGUAGCGGGAGCGUCGAGGAUGAUGACGGACAGUGCGGGGAUGUCGUCUUCGUGCCCGUCGGCGACACGCACGGCGGCAAAGACAAGCGGAGGCACCGUUCAAGCGGAGCUUUCGCAGUCGUGUCCACAUCCUCACCAGCACCAGCACCAGCAGCAUCAACAGCCUUGCUUGGGAGGUUUCCUAGAUCCGUUUUUCCUGACGGAGAUCGACGAAAAUGUUCAGGCCUUCAACGGUACUGCUGCGACGAGCGGCUCGCGCACGUCUCUCUCGGGCGACGGUGCUAGUACAAGUGCCAAGGACGCGGCCCUCUGCAGCCCAUGCAUGGAGUGCGUGCCACCGGCGCGUGGAAAGACGGUGCGUAAGUCGCGCUCCGCAUGUGAGCUGCGGCUCGAGUGCCGCCUCAGUACUUUGAUGGGCAGUGAUAUCACGAAAGACGAGGCGGACGACAGUAAGCGGAAGCGGCGACAGCCAUCGUCGUUCCCGUCGUCGUCACGCAGGGACACGGCAGGCUGCUUUUCGAGCUUCGAGGUCAUGGGACCGACAGCCGAGGUGGCUGCGGCGGGCGAAGACAUUGCCACAACCGCGGCGACAGCGACAGAUCCAGAGGCUGAGUUAAAAAGCCAUGAAACAAAGAGGCGCUUGCUGUUGCCUACAUGGGUAACAGCGCGGCCAUCGACUGUGAGGAGAGCAGGGGCACCGUCGACGGAUUCGGGUGUGGCAAGUCGAACGGUGAACGGCUGCUUAGCCUCUCCGCGAUCCUUCAGCUUAUCGCACUCGAAGCCCAGCAGUGACAACCGCGAUGCUUCGGAAGGUAGCUACGUGCUUGACUGCGAGACUACUCUCCUGCCGAGCGAGAGCGUGGCCGCCGCUGUGAGCACCAGCUCCUCGACCGUUAGCAGCUACGCGAGCGAAGCACAGGGAAGGGCGGCGGAAGAGGCGACGAACUGCGCCACCACCGGUGGGACGACCGUCGGAUCUAAGGUGACGUUGCUUGUAUCUUCGAUCAUGCGGUGCACCCCGUCCCGAACGGGCCCGCCCCACUCCGCGUCUUCUACAGAAGGCGGCGCUGCAGAUGCGGAGCGGCUGCCGCCGCUGGAGCUGUACCCACCUGCUGUGCUUCCAUCUUCGAUAGAGGAGCUGCCGUGCGGCGUGGAAUACGACGCAUCUGGCGCGCAUCAUGACAACAUGUACGCCAUGAAGGACAUUACAGUGGCUGUGAAGGAGGAUGCCGACCAGCAACGGUGUGCCUUGGCCGAAGAGCCGACUCUGCAGGCCUCAACCGCGAGCAGGCGCACGCAGCAUACACAAUGGACGAUGCUUCCGUCGCCAGUGACUGCGUGGCUGCUCGGCAGCUCAGCCAUGGGCGCCUCACUUUCGACAGCGCUGUGGAAGGUGGCCCCUCGGUCAAGACCGGCAAUGCUCACGCCGUGUUCGUGCGUUUCCGCACGAGCAGAGCAACAUUCUGUCCAGGUGCUGUCAAGAGCGCUGGCAAAGGGGUCGGCGAUGCGCUCUUGGGCAGAGCUCGAACGCGCGUCACUAUCCUUCCUCGGCACAUGGUCCGCCUCCGUGUCUGCACACCUCUCUGCGGUCCCACCGUCGCUUACCACAGGCUCGACCACGUUACGUGGGUCAUCGGCGCUGCACCUGAUGCUGCCGCCACUAUCCUAUUACGCCUCUGCUGGUACUGAGUCCAUCGCGUACAUCACUCGGGCUCCAUCACGUCCGGCUGCCGCAGCAGAGGAGAUGAUCGCGCGGCAGCCGUGUGAUGUGUGGCGUCUCGCGCGGUGCUACGCGCACUUCGAGCGCGCCGUUGAGCAACGCGGCGACGACGGCGUAUGGUCAGCUCGUGGCAUCAGCUCCCUUCCGACGUGGGAUUCAGUAAAGCUGGUGACAGCUGCUGGCGUUGCUAGUAGGGAUGCGGAGAGCAGCCUGAAUGACGACUGCGAGGAUGGCGGCGCGUGGCUGCUUCCUUCCUUCACUCUUGAUGUUCUUCCUGACACACCUGACACCCCUUCCCCGGCUUCUCCGCAGUUUACUUCGACCUUCCCGUUCUCCUCCGUGGCGUCUGUGCUUCGCGCCGAGAAGGAAGAGGAGGCCUUCGCCUCUGCUGUGAUGUGGACAUUGGAGGUGAUGACCGGCGUGCGUUGAGCUUUUUUUUUUCGAGCUUGACGUGAUCGCGAUCGACAGGCCGAGAGCGAGCGGAAAAAAAAAACGGCGUAUGCCCACAACAGUGCAGCCAGGGGAGGAGGAUAAAGCAGGGAUCGACAGGAACUGUGGUGAAUAGGACGUUGUACUACAGCGGCCUUUUUGGUAAAUUUAGAUGCAUCUUGUCAACGCCGCAAAGAGGUACAGAGCAGCAGCGCCCCCCUUGCCGCCGACGAACAGUGGAAAAGCAGCGAAGACACGAAAAGGACCCCACAAGGAAUGCCAUUUCCACAGGAAGAAAACGGGAGAGAGAGGGGGUGGGGCAAAAAAAGAAGAAAUAUCGGGAGCACGAGCUACUCAUCCCUAGCCCCCCUCCUCCUUACCCCUUUCUCUUGAAGUGGGUACCACUGGGAACGAGGCACAUCCACGUAGGCACACAUGCGCCGUCCUCCUCAUUUUGCCUUCGCUUGUGCAUGUUUUGCCAGGACACCUGCAUCUCUUCUCCCGCAACUCCUCCCUCUCGUGCCGUCGCGUUUCCUGAUGGAGGCGGAUCUGGCGCGCUCUACCAAACAACAAAAUACCGCACCUUUGAUCUCUUUGUUUUCGGGUAUUUCGUUGCCUUCAUAGAAUCGGCGGCGCAUCCGGCAAAGGAGCCGUUUUCGCGGCUCUCGUGAUUUCUGUGCAUGCUGCGGCUCUCUCCCCCUUCUCUCUCUCUCUUGUUCGUCAUGCUUUGCAUCCCUGCCAUGCUCAUCUGCCAUCUGGCUCGCUGCCCUCGUUUCCGCUGCUUUUCUGUUUCCGCGGGCUGAUUCGUUGUAUCUUUAUUUUUUUUUCCCCCUUUUAGCGUUGGCUACUGCCUCCUCCUCCCUCUUGUGCGUGUGUGUGUGUGUGCGAAUGUGCGCCGUUACCUCUGAGCCUGCUCUUUCACCCUGCUCUUCGCUCAAUCAACCUGACGGAGAGAGGAGGAGUGUGCUGCGCGCUUUUAUUUUAUUCGUUUGUUCUGCUUUCGUCCUCGUGCUUGCCGCAUGACGUGGCCAUGGACGCGUACUGAUGUAGUAGCACGGUCCUUGCCGUGUGCACCUGCCCACCUCCCUUCCCCGUUUCAAGAGGGAUCUGCAAAGCACAAAAGGCGCUAAAAGGGAGGGCGAGCGGGGCAGCGCAGCGUGCCCAUACACCACCACACAGGCAAACCAGUAAGUAAGCGUUUCUUUUUUUUUUUUGCUGUUUGUUUCACAAUAACAGAAGCAGGAGUGAUCGCGCGGAAGGUAACGCUGACCGCUUGUUUUUCUUGAAACACGGCGCGAACUCCCUUCCUUCUUUCCACCCACCUACACGGGCACCUCCCCCUCUUCUCGUUCUAUUCCCUUGUACCUCCCUAUUUAUUGUAUUUAUUAGGUGUCAUGUUCAAGCAUAUUAUAUAUAUAUAUAUAAUAUUAUAUAUAUAUAUAUACGUGUAUGUAUGUACCCCUGUCUUUAUUUUUUCUCUUAUUGCCUGUUCAUCUGUAUUUUUUUUUUCUGUUUGGUAUGUAUUUGUGUAUGUAUUUACACAUGGAAAGAGAGUUACACACACAUACAUAUGUAUGUAUAUGUAUAUGUAUAUGUAUAUGUAUAUGUAUAUGUAUAUGUAUAUGUGUGUGUGUGUGUGUGUACGUCUCUUUUCAAACGUGGUCUUCGCGUCUUUUUUGUUGAUGUUUUUUCCCUCUUCCUGCUCUCCUGUUUGGGUCUCCGUGCUCGAAGCUAGAUGUUGCUUCUCUUUUCGUUUCCUAGUACAACCAUCUCGCGCCUUUCUCGCUCUUGGUAUUCCUUUCUACCGCACGCAUCCGCUGCUCAGGAUCGCUGCUGUGCGCAUGUGAUGAGACGCUUUUUCUGUGUCGUUAUGCUGCUGAGGCAGCAUAUUCAUGUGCAUGGACCUCGGGGCACGGGCCCCAUUUUCUAUGCAUGGCUAUUUUUAUGCGACCCACGCCCAUGGGCUUCCGCGCACCUAUUGCACAGCGCUAUAUCUGUUGAUUUUCCUCUGGAACAUACCUGCAGAUAUGUGUUUUCCGUUUCUGGAAAUUAAGCGCACAUGCAUGCGCGCGCUCUCCAUCUCUGAGCCUUGCCCCUACUCCCAUCUAUUUUGCCUUGACGUUUUUCUUACGUUUCUGUCCUGCGUAUUCCCUCCACCUUGUGUUGUACACACGCAUCUGUUUCAAACAUGUACGCCUUCCUGGUUAUUUCUUCUUUGCCUUUUCAACAUUUUUCAUCUGGAUGCUGGAUAUGCCUGCAUCUACACUAUGUGUGGCGGACGCAUCGUCUUCUCCCUACUCCCCAAGCUUUCUCGGUUGCUCUCUCUCCCACCCUCUUUUUGCUGUUUGGAUCGAGGCACCUGCGUGUUUUGCUUCGCCUUCACAACUGGUGCUUGCCCUGCCGCUUUCCUUUGUGUUGUCCUUUUUUUUUCUCUCCUCUUAGGAGAAGCACACGCGCAGCGUACAACAAGCACCGUACCAGUCUGACGAACGGCUACUGUGCGUCUCUCUCUGCCACGCCCUGAAGCACACACACACACACACACACACCUACACCGCCUCUCUCUCUUUUGUGCUCUUUCUGGUUUCGUCUGUCUGUCUGUCUUUCUUCGUUCACUCUUGUAUCCUCUUUCGUUCUUUGUCCAUGUACCGAAACUGUCUUGUGUGUUCUCCGCGUUGCUGCUCCGUUCCGGCCUUCUCUGCUCAGUUGCAUACACCCUCCCCCUCCCACCCCUUCAUUUCCCGCCUGCGUGCGGAACUGUGUGUGUGUGUGCCUAUAACCAGGUGGGGCGGAGCGGAUGUUGCUCAAUCGCAUGACGUUUUGCUUGUGAAGGAGCCAACGUGUUUAUUCUUCUUUUUUAUUUCUGGCCUCUCAUAAAUUUUCUGUUCUUUUUUUUUGGGCGUUUUCAUUGGUUUUCUGCUCCAGUAUAUAUUUUUCUCGUGACCUUGAGGGCGACGUGCUGGUGGCGUCUCCCGUCGCUUUUUCUUUUACUUUUUUUUUUGUUUGGACAGUCGAUCCCGUGUACUCCCAACCCCACCCCGCCUCUUCCUUCGUCUGCCUUCUAUGUUCUUUGCGUAUGUGCUGGUCUACAUUACUUUUUCUUUCUCUCCCCCUUUUUGUCGGUUGCAUCGUCGUCGUGCGUGCGUGUGUGCGCGCGCACCUUCUUUUCUCGUUCUCUCUGUCUUGGUUGCUCCUUUUUUUUUGUGCGGGCUUCUGUUCGAGGCGACGCAUGCGCUCACCGCUCUCCUUUUUUUUUCCUUUAGUUGUUUUUGUUUUCGAUUGUGUGAGUGUGCGUGCUUGAUGUCUUCUUCCCAGUUGCAGCUGAGCAGGGUGUCAAGAGACUAUAUCUAUCUCUCUCUCUCUCCAGCUCGCAUCUCUUUAUCACGCCCACGUUACAGCUUUUUUUUUUCUCUCUUCGUAAUCGCGUGCACACCAACAUGUACGACCGCGCAAAAUUUCGUGACGACGACGAAGCAAGGAUCAGCGCGAGACGAAGGACUUGUGCAGGAACGUGCGUGUGCUGGCAACGACAACGCGUUAUACACAUGACGACAAAGCAUAGAGAAAAACACGCGCGCACACACACGCGGAGAAAAAAGGGCCAGCGAAAGGCAGUACAGCACUUCCUGGCGCAACAUCUCCUUUCGCGUAUAAAACGCUUUCUGGUUUUCUGUUUAUCUAUCCGUAUCUCCAUAUUUUGCGGUGUACACAGCAUUUCUUUCGCGGCAGCGGACCCUCCUCCUAUCCUCUCCAAAGAGAACAAGAGUGUAACGCUCCAUCCUGCGUGCGAGCAUCGGUGACUCCUCGAUUUCCCCACACGACUUUGCACGUUGCUGCCACCACACCAACUCUUGUCGAGCACACGCUCCAGCAUAAAGAAAGUUCAGGAAAGGAAAACGGUAAGAGACAAAAAAAACACAACCGUCAAGACGCAAGGCAGUGAAUGCCAUGCGCGCGCGUACAUGCUUACCCAUACACACGGAGCUCUCUCGCUUUUUUUUCGCGUGCGUGUUUGCCACGGCACAUCCGUGCCAUCACCCCCUCCCCCUCCCUCCCUCCUUGCCCUUCGUUCACUGCCUCUGGCUCGUGGCAACGGUGCUGCACCGUUACCUCGAGCACGCAAGUGGCUAUACAAGCACGCAAAACGGUGAACGGAGAAGUAAGCGAGUGCGCCUAUAUGCCCACGCACCCCCCACACACAUACACAUAGAGGGAACCCUUUCACAACCCGCACCUUCCGUGUGUAUGUGUGUGUGGGCGUGGGUACAUAGGCGCUGCUGCUGCUGCUGCUGCUGCACAUGGCAUCGAGCAAGCAAACAAACGGCUCUAAAAGCCUCCCCCCAAAAAAAAGAAGAGAAGCGCAGAAAGCAGCAAUCAUGCCCUUCUGCUUCCCUCUCUCUUCGUACCGCCUUACUGGCUGAUGCCCAUCCCCGCCACCGCCUUCCUUUCUAUACAUACAUGCAUACACAUACAUACAUGCAUGUAUGCUUGUUCUUGGCUCUUUGCCAGUGCCGUAUUCUCGCGUGGUUUUGUGCCUUCACUUCUUCCGCGUUCUUUCUCUAUCCCUCGUGAGUUUUUCUUUUUCAGAGUUUCCUCGCUUCCCUCAUUUUCUUCGUUCGUUACCGUUCGUGCGUGCUGGUGUGGUGCCAAUGCUGGCUCUCCUCUUUUUUUCUUAAUCUCGCGAGCAGCGAAGUCUGUUUAGGACAAGGUUACAUGGCCCCUCCUGUCUUUCUGUUUUCUACUUCCGUGUCUUGUCUUCUUUUUUGCUCGUCUCCAUUUUCUUCGUUUUGUGCGUCUGUACUCCCUCUUCUGUGAAGCUGUAUGUGGGUAUGCUCUGCUGCUGCGCAAGAAGAGCGCGAGAGCACCGAUGCAGACAAGGGAGUGGGAGUGCGUCCCUGUCUGUCUCAGCCAUCAUUCUCUCCAAAGCCACCCAAUUCGUUUCUCCCAUCCUUCGUUUCUUCUCCUCCUCAAGCUCUAAAAGAGGUGCGUGAUGGCAUGCCGGCUCGUUGUAGCCGUCACAGUGUAACGCAGAGGUCGAUGUGCGGCGGCUUCGUACGUGCUCCUGGGCCACCGUGGGCUCUAUAAUAUGGAUGGUGCAGGAGGUAUACCGUCCUGACUCCCCCUCUCCCCCCACACGCACAAGGGUCGAUCCAUCUCUUUCUCUCUCUGUUCCUGUUAUCAACUUCACUAUUUGCUUUUUGAUUCUUCUCUCCUUUUCUACUUUCGGGUGGCAACAUGGAAGGACUCGGAGGCACGCCUUCUGCACUCCCCUCACCCACCACCACCACACUAUGUCUCCGUCUCUCUGUUCUCUUUUUUUUUGUUUCCUUGCGCGAUGACCAACACGCACGCACACACACGCUUGUAUAUGUAUACACACACAUGCAUGCAGGCAUACAGACGGAAAAAAAAGAAAACAAAGAGAUACUCUGUGGCGCAUGCGCAAUCUUCUUUUUGAAAGAACGGAAGUAUGCUUGUUUCUGCGUGUGUGUGUGGGUGUGUGUGGGGUACCUGUUCUUGUAUCUUCCACUGCAUGCUCUCCUUUCCUAUAUUUUGGACUCCGUAUUGCUCAUCAUGACGCACAUGAGUCGCUCGCUCUCUCUUUCUCUCUGGCUGUCUUUUCUUUUAGUUUUACUGCUUCUCUCCCCCUCUCUGUGUUGAUGUGCGUUCUUGCUCUUGUGUUGCUUCGUCCCCCAUCUUUCUCCCUUCACGGCUGUUUCUCUCUUUUUUUUUUCGUCCCUUUUCAUGGUUGUCUCUCUGUCUUUCGCUAUGGGGAGGGAGGCGUCACUUGGCAUGCACGGCGCAUACCCCCUCCCCGCUCCCUCCCACAUACACAUACACGCACACGCACACACAGAGGCCAUCUUUCUUCUUUUCUCGGUCGUUUUCAGCCCACCUCCCUCUCUCUCUGUCUCUGUUCUUCACCUGUACCACUUCCAUUAUUGCGUCCCUCUUGAGUUUCUUGUGUGCAUGCCUUGCACAUGCAUACACACACACACACACACACACAAACACUCACGCGCGUGUAUGUGCGUGUGCGCGCGCGCGCUUGCGUGAGAGCUGAAGCGGUCUCCCGUUUUUUUUUUCUUUUCUGUUUCCCCCGUUUGUUCCUCGACUUGCGUUACGCGCUGUGGCUCGGCGGCACGCGGCUCUAUCUUGCCCAUGUGCACGCGGCUGUGCGUGGCCCUGAGGUGAUCUUCGCGCUCUCUUUCCUCGUCUUCCCUUCUGCCCCUCCACUUUCCUCAUUUUUUGUUUUCAGUGCCUUGGCGUCCCCGGCCGCGCGUAUGCAGACGGGGCAGCGAGGGCCCACACAAAGUACGCAACAACAACGCAACCAACAACAACAAAGAACGCGGCCGCGGGCGGGAGCGCCUCGAGCGAGAGAGGGACACCGCCGGACUCUGUGACGCCGCCUUUUCUUUUUGCCUGAUGUGCUGUUGCGUUUUGUUUUGCUGUCUUCGAAAUACCGGGAGCUUGCACCUGCUCAUGCUUCGCGCGCGCUCGUGUAUAUGCCAGUUUUUGGGUGCAUAUGUACGUAUACAAGUGCAACGUGUGCGCGUGUGUGUGUGUGGUCUCCAUCUCGCUCUCUUAGCCCCUUCUUGUGUUGUGCGGCCUUCAGGCGAGCGUCCUAUCCUGGCUUUGCCUUCUCCGUGAGGCGAAGGAGGAGGAGGAGGGGUCAUGAGAGCGAGACGACCUCAUCACAGAGAACUGCCAAACGAAUACGUGCAAGCGAGUCGGCGACAUGAGCGGCAGGAAGACAAGCAAACACGGGGGGAGGCAAAGGUGUCUUCAGGAAGCACAUUUUCAGGCAGCCUUGUGCAUGAGAAGCGGCCGAGAUUUCUUUUCAGCGUGCGCGAAAAGAAAAAAAAAACGACAACGAAAAACGAAGAAACCUUCCGUUCACUACCCGACGCGCAUGCACGACUAUCCUGUUCUUU
rnacentral:misc_RNA from 1 species